rnacentral:rRNA from 1 species
UAGGGAAUCUUCCACAAUGGACGCAAGUCUGAUGGAGCAACGCCGCGUGAGUGAAGAAGGGUUUCGGCUCGUAAAGCUCUGUUGUUAAAGAAGAACGUGGGUAAGAGUAACUGUUUACCCAGUGACGGUAUUUAACCAGGAAGCCACGGCUAACUACGUGCCAG